GCGAGUGUAGCUUAGCAGGCAAAGCACCCGAUUUGUAAUCGGGGGUUCGGAGUUCGAGACUCCGCACUCGCC
rnacentral:tRNA from 1 species